GCGGUGGUAGCUCAGUUGGUUAGAGUACCGGUCUGUCACGCCGGUGGUCGCGGGUUCGAGCCCCGUCCGCCGCGCCA
rnacentral:tRNA from 1 species